CUUGGUCAUUUAGAGGAAGUAAAAGUCGUAACAAGGUUUCCGUAGGUGAACCUGCGGAAGGAUCAUUAGAGAGAAACUGCCCUUUGGGGUACAUCUCCCGCCCUGAUUAUCUUACCAAGUUGCUUUGGUGGGCAUUCAUGCCUUGGCUACUGCCUGCCAAAGUGUAUUUAUACUCCUGUUCAUGAUCUGUCUGAGAAAUUAAUAAAUAUUUAAAACUUUCAACAACGGAUCUCUUGGUUCUGGCAUCGAUGAAGAACGCAGCGAAAUGCGAUACGUAAUGUGAAUUGCAAUUUUAGUGAAUCAUUGAAUCUUUGAACGCGCAUUGCGCCCUCUGGUAUUCCGGGGGGCAUGCCUGUUCGAGCGUCAUCACAACCCUCAAGCUAUGCUUGGUACUGGAUCUGAAUCUUUGACCAAAGAUUGAUCUCAAAAACAAUUGCGGUGCCCAGCGUUAGGCUUGGAGUGUAGUAAUCUCGAUACCGCUCAUCAUCCACACUGGAAGCUUGCCAAAUAUUAUCAUAAAACUGGUUGACCUCGGAUCAGGUAGGGAUACCCGCUGAACUUAAGCAUAUCAAUAAGCGGAGGA
rnacentral:rRNA from 1 species